rnacentral:rRNA from 1 species
GAUGAACGCUGGCGGCGUGCCUAAUACAUGCAAGUCGAGCGAACGGACGAGAAGCUUGCUUCUCUGACGUUAGCGGCGGACGGGUGAGUAACACGUGGAUAACCUACCUAUAAGACUGGGAUAACUUCGGGAAACCGGAGCUAAUACCGGAUAAUAUUUUGAACCGCAUGGUUCAAAAGUGAAAGACGGUCUUGCUGUCACUUAUAGAUGGAUCCGCGCCGCAUUAGCUAGUUGGUAAGGUAACGGCUUACCAAGGCAACGAUGCAUAGCCGACCUGAGAGGGUGAUCGGCCACACUGGAACUGAGACACGGUCCAGACUCCUACGGGAGGCAGCAGUAGGGAAUCUUCCGCAAUGGGCGAAAGCCUGACGGAGCAACGCCGCGUGAGUGAUGAAGGUCUUCGGAUCGUAAAACUCUGUUAUUAGGGAAGAACAUAUGUGUAAGUAACUGUGCACAUCUUGACGGUACCUAAUCAGAAAGCCACGGCUAACUACGUG